UCUACUCAUCAGUCAUCAGUACUCAGCGGUAUUUUAUAUAUUUGCGUACUUGCUCUCCGAGCCCCACGAAAGCGUGCUUCCUCUCUCGAAACUCAAAAGCUUUGGAGACCCAAGCAGGCGCCUCGUUCUCGUUCUCGUUCUCUCCCUUUCUGCUGGUUUUGUUAACUUGCAAUUUGCAGUUUGCUCCAGACCUAGCAGUUCUCGCCGGUGGCGGCGGCGAUUGCGCGAAAAUUUCAAAACCGAUAGAUGGAGGCAAACGAGUUUGAACUUUACAAUUCCCCAAUCCUCUAGGUGUUCCUUUUCUUGUCUGUCCUACAUUAGCAGGUUAUUGAUCAUCAGCCUUAUGGUUGGAUUUGAGGCAUCUCUAUUCAAUUCUAUUGCCCUCGGCUCUGAGAAUUUUGCACAAUAGUCUUCCAUUCUGUUAUAAUGGAGAAUUUACAUGAAAAAGUCCAUAAAGUGCUUCCUCAUUAAUUUCCUCAUUUUCACUGGCUUUUGACACCAGUUUUAUCGGCUUUAGCACGUGCUUGUCAAAAGAAGGUUCUCAAGAUAUGGACAUUUUGUUAUUGACUUCAAUGGAGCCUCCAAUGAAACGAAGAGCUGGUCUAUGGAUUGUACAGGCAGGACGAGGAUCCUAUCGGGGCAGUUAGUGAGGGUUUUUAGUGAUUAUUUGGCGCUUAUUAUUGCAAUACUGGUUUUUAUUUCCUGGAAAGGUAAGAUAAAUAAAUGGGGUCAACUUCUUUGAGGCAGUUCCUGCAGAGUCUUUGCUGCAAUUCUCCCUGGGACUAUGCGGUUUUUUGGAAGUUUCAGGAGCAUCAAAAUGAAAUGCUUCUGGUAUGGGAUGAAGGACUAUUUGACUUUUCAAGACCAAUGGAUCCCAUGGAAGGCAUGAUGAGUUCUUUUUCUUUGAACAGCUCAUAUGAGAGGUUAACCUCAGCUUGUGUAUCUGGUACACAAAAUGGAAGUUUAAGUGACUGUCCAAUUGCAGUUGCAAUGGCUGAAAUGUCAAAUACUUAUUAUGUAGUCGGA